GACCCGUGGUGUAAUGGUUUGAGCAUCGGACUGUGACUCUGGAGACCAGGGUUCGAGUCCUGGCUUGGCCA